ensembl:lncRNA
UUGUGAUAUAAUUUGUAUUUGUGGUCCUGACAACUGGACCAUUUUUUGUCUUAAUGAGAUUUACUGUCAGGGCCCAGGUCUGACAGAAUCUGUGCAGAAGAUCUAGAUGCUUCUGUAGGCUCUCCUUGAUUGGCGACAGAAGCACCAGAUCAUCAGCAAACAGUAGACAUUUGACUUCAAAGUGUAGUAGGGUGAGGCCGGGUGCUGCAGACUGUUCAUGUGCCCUCGCCAAUUCGUUGAUAUAUAUUUUGAAGAGGUGGUGAUCAAGCUGUAUCCCUGUCUCACCCCACGGCCCUGUGGAAAGAAAUGUGUGUUUCUUGCCAAUUCUACCCGCACACUUGUUGUUUUUGUACAUGGAUUCUGUAAUGUUGUGUGUUUUUGAAAUCACCAAAUCAUAAGAAGACUGCCUUUGUUUUGGUUUGUUUGUUUGUCAAUUAGGGUGUGCAGUGUUAAUAUGUGGUGUGUCAUAUGAUAAUUUGGUUAAUUAAAAGCCAAUUUGCCAUUUGCUCAGUACAUUGUUUUCACUGAGGACGUGUACUCUCUGUCUUUUCCUCUCCUCUCCUCUCCUCUCUUCUUCUUUUUUCCUCUCCUCUCCCUCUCCCUCCUCUCCUCUCCUCUCCUCUCCUCUCCUCUCCUCUCCUCUCUCUUUCUUUUUUUUUAUCCUCUCCCCUCCUCUCUUCCUCUACAGAACAUGAAGCUGAUGAAGAGCCAGAGUGUAGUGAAACAGUGGUUCAGCCUGGUCAGUACUCUACUUUGGGCCGGAUCGGCAUUGUCAACACAGCCCUGCUACAGAGCACUAUCAUACGGUGCUCACGCACCCAGUCACACACGCCCUCACAUGCCCCAGAGGACGGUCAGAUGGGGGAGGAGAGAAGAGAGGAGGGAAGGUUGGACAAGGAGAUGGUGGAUAAGAGAGAGGAGGAGGAAAGGAGAGUGGUGAAGUCAUCAGUGUGUCGGAUCCAGGCCCAGAGGGGACAGGGCAUCUCUUCUCUGAUGGCUUCUCUCACCCCGACCCUCAACCCUGACCCCUCCUUUACUCCUAACCCUCACCCUAGCCUCACUCUCAACCCUAUCCCUUCCCUUAAGAUUCAACCUCACCCUAGCCUCACCCCCUCAUCUUCCAUGGACAGUGUCUCCCUGGCGGGUGAAGAUGGGGGGGAGGGCUUCCACAGCCUCCCUCGUAAGGACACCUUGUCCUCUGUGAGCAGCUGCCUUACCACCCCCUACAGGACACUCUGCGACACUGCACCCUGCUCUAUGGACCAUGUCUCCCAGAGCCAGAAGGGGUGGAGCUGCAAAUCCCAGAGUCAGAGCACAUUGCUCAGGAAGGACUGGAGCUACGUGCCCCUGCUGACCGCCAGCCAUUCCUCCCCACUCUACCCUCUCUCCUCCAUCUCCUCCCCCUCUCAGACGGACUGCAGCUCUCUCUGCUCCGGGGAUACAGAGACCGCCGGACACUCCCCCUUGCAGUGGCUCAAGUCCCACAGCCACGGCUGCAUUUCUGCCGACUACGCCACUGGCAACAACCGCUGUCCCCACGGUAACCAAGACCAGCACGGUCUCCAUAGCAACAGCUGUAACUUGUCACACAGUAUCUCGCUAAGGAAGUUCAAGAGGCCCCCCGUUCCCCCUACCCGUUCCACAUCACUAAGGCGUAAACCUGCCCGGGGAAAACAACUGCGCUACAACUUCAACAACCCUGGAGAUAGAGAGGAGGUGGUGGUGACGUUACAGAGGAGUCUCCGGACCCCAAGUCCUGCUCCCGUUUCUCCUCUGGUCUCCCCUGUGGUGUUCGAGGUGUUCGAGGAUCCUUGGGUCCCUCGCUGUCUCAGCAUCAGCAGUCUGAGCAUGGGGGAAAGGGGAGCUGCUGAUACAGCCAGCCAGAUCAAUCAGGUCCCUCACUUCCACAGCUUCCCGGACCAGGUCUACCCUUCCAGCUACCGCCUCAAGCAGCCUCACCACUCUGCGUCCCGCUCAGCCAGUACUGGAGGGCUGAGCCUGCCUAUGGGACCUAAAACGGCCACUUCUUUUCCAAACAUGGCCACCUCUGCAGGGAGACUGCAGCGUCUGGCUUCCAACUCCAGCGGAUACUACAGCCAGUGCAACACUCUAACAUCUUCCUCACCCCAAACCACCUCCUCACCCCUCACUUCCUCCUCCUCCUCACCCCUCACUUCCUCCUCCUCCCUGCCCCUCACCUCCUCCCUUCCCAGGACUUGUUCUACCCCUGGCAGAGGAAGGCCCAAACCCCCCAUCCCAGAGAGAAAGUCCUCCCUCCUCUCCUCCCCCUCUUCCUCCUUUUCUUCCACUUCCUCCCUCUCUUCCUACACCUCUGCUGACUCGGCCAGAUACCCCCCUCUCUCCCCUCUUACACUCCUCCCUGAGUCCACAAAACUCCUCCUUCCCUCUAACCGCCCCCUACCCAUCCCUUCCGCAACAACAAUCACUCCCCUCGUCCCCUCCUCUCCCCCUCUCCCUCAACGGUGGCAUCUCUCGACCUCCUCCCAUCUCCCCUUCCUCUAACUC